GACGUAGGAGGCGAGCGUUGUCCGGAUUCAUUGGGCGUAAAGAGCUCGUAGGCGGCUUGUCGCGUCGUCCGUGAAAACCUGCGGCUCAACUGCAGGCUUGCGGUCGAUACGGGCAGGCUGGAGUUCGGUAGGGGAGACUGGAAUUCCUGGUGUAGCGGUGAAAUGCGCAGAUAUCGGGAGGAACACCGGUGGCGAAGGCGGUUCUCUGGGCCUUACCUGACGCUGAGACCCGAAGGUCAGGGGAGCAAACGGG
rnacentral:rRNA from 1 species